rnacentral:rRNA from 1 species
CCUACGGGUGGCAGCAGUGGGGAAUAUUGGACAAUGGGCGAAAGCCUGAUCCAGCCAUGCCGCGUGUGUGAAGAAGGCCUUCGGGUUGUAAAGCACUUUCAGUGGGGAAGAAAGCCUUGGGGCUAAUACCCUCGAGGAAGGACAUCACCCACAGAAGAAGCACCGGCUAACUCCGUGCCAGCAGCCGCGGUAAUACGGAGGGUGCGAGCGUUAAUCGGAAUUACUGGGCGUAAAGCGCGCGUAGGCGGUCUGAUAAGCCGGUUGUGAAAGCCCCGGGCUCAACCUGGGAACGGCAUCCGGAACUGUCAGGCUAGAGUGCAGGAGAGGAAGGUAGAAUUCCCGGUGUAGCGGUGAAAUGCGUAGAGAUCGGGAGGAAUACCAGUGGCGAAGGCGGCCUUCUGGACUGACACUGACGCUGAGGUGCGAAAGCGUGGGUAGCAAACAGGAUUAGAUACCGUGUAGUC